rnacentral:rRNA from 1 species
CCUACGGGAGGCAGCAGUGAGGAAUAUUGAGCAAUGGGCGCAAGUCUGGUGGAGCAACGCCGCGUGAGCGAUGAAGGCCUUCGGGUCGUAAAGCUCUGUUGUUAGGGAAGAAUAAGUACCGGAGUAACUGCCGGUACCUUGACGGUACCUAACCAGAAAGCCACGGCUAACUACGUGCCAGCAGCCGCGGUAAU